AAACUUUCAACAACGGAUCUCUUGGUUCUGGCAUCGAUGAAGAACGCAGCGAAAUGCGAUAAGUAAUGUGAAUUGCAGAAUUCAGUGAAUCAUCGAAUCUUUGAACGCACAUUGCGCCCUCUGGUAUUCCGGGGGGCAUGCCUGUUCGAGCGUCAUUUACACCCCUCAAGCCUAGCUUGGUAUUGGGAGCCUGCCCCCCGGGGGCAAUCCCGAAAUGCAGCGGCGGUGCGGCCGGAUUUCCUAGCGCAGUGACUCAUAUCAUCGCUACAAGGAAUCCGCGUCGUCCCGGCCGGACAACAACCAAAUUUUACCACG
rnacentral:rRNA from 1 species